GAAAGCAAUGCCAAAGCAAAAAAUUCAUUUAAAGGAAGAUGCUAUAAUUGUGGCCACAAAGGCCACAAAAUGAAUGAAUGCGAGAAAAAGUUUAAUCGUAUGAGAAGAAGAAGACGUUGCUACAUAUGCAAAAGAUUGGGCCAUGUUGCCAAGCACUGUAAAGAAGCAAACCUACCAGUCAAAAACGUGCUGAACAAUUGCAGCAAC